CAAAAACAUGUCCUCUUGAUUGUAUUUUGAGGUCUGGCCUGCUCACUGAUAAAUUUAAAGAGCCGCGGUAUUUUGACCGUGCAAAGGUAGCAUAAUCAUUAGUCUUUUAAUUAAGGGCUGGAAUGAAUGGCUUGACGAGAAAUUAACUGUCUCUUAAUAAUUUAUAAAAUUUAACUUUUGAGUCAAAAGGCUUAAAUUUUUCUUUAGGACGAGAAGACCCUAUAGAGCUUAACAUAUAAUUUAUAUUUAUACAUUAGAUGAUUUUUAUAUAUUUAAUGAUAAUGUUUUGUUGGGGUGACAUGAAGAAUUAAUAAACUCUUCAUUAUAAAAUCAUUAAUUUAUGUUUAUUUUUGAUCCAUAAUUUAUGAUCAUAAGAUUAAGUUACCUUAGGGAUAACAGCGUAAUUGUUUUUGAGAGCUCAAAUCAACAAAGCAGAUUGCGACCUCGAUGUUGGAUUAAGAAAAAUUUUGGGUGC
rnacentral:rRNA from 1 species